rnacentral:rRNA from 1 species
UACAGAGGUCUCAAGCGUUUGUUCGGAUUCAUUGGGCGUAAAGGGUGUGUAGGUGGCGCGCUAAGUCGGGGUGUGAAAUUUCGGAGCUUAACUCCGAAACUGCAUUCGAUACUGGCGUGCUUGAGGACUGGAGAGGAGACUGGAAUUUACGGUGUAGCAGUGAAAUGCGUAGAUAUCGUAAGAAAGACCAGUGGCGAAGGCGGGUCUCUGGGCCGAUACUGACGCUGGAGGAGCGAAAGCGUGGGGGAGCGAACAGG